AUGGAUGCUGGGCUGUUGGCGAGGGGUGCGGUGGGGUUGGGGGUGGUGGGUGCGGAGGCGGGGACGGGGGCGCUGUCCCAGUCGGAGGCCGGACUCGAGGUGACGAAGUACUGUCUCCUCUUCCUGAGGAGUCUCUCGAGCAUCUCCUCCUUGAGCUUGCGGAGUCGGAGGAUCGAGUUCCACUCGAGCUCCUUGGCCCGGGCCAGCUCGCCCAGGGCCGAGAUCUCCCUCUGCAGCUUGUCCGCGCUCUGGUUCAUGUCUUCCAGGCUCCCGGCCGACUGCUCCAGGUACUCCCGCACCAGCUCCCGUGGCUGCUUCCGCCUUUCUCCAGUCGCCGCUUCCUCUCCUUGAAGCGCUCGCACCCGGAGCCCGAGCCCGAGCCGGACCCGGUGUCCACUUCAUUCACCUGAAACACCAUCAAAUGACAACUUAAUCUCGGGAAAGGCUCCAAAAGGGGACAAAUCAAAAGAAAAACCCGCAACGUUUGCAAAUAGUCACAAUGGACCACUAGACAAGGUACAAGAGGUUGUUCCAAAAUCGCCGAUUUUGGCCCCUCCCUGGAUUCGGCCCAAACUUUGCUCAGAUGUUGUACUAAGUGUCCCCGAUGCUUGGGCAAAAUUUCAGCCCCCUCGGAUAAUUGGAGGGCGGGGGGCAAAGUCGCAAUUUUUUUAAAACUUUAAAAAUCGAUAUCUCGCGAACGGGUUGAGUGUAAGUGUUGCGGUUUGCGCUAAAAAACGUUAAAAAAUAUUCUCUACAGUCUCUCCUCUCCAGGCGAUCGUUGCUACGUGAAUAAAAACCUGUUGAGGUGAUUUUCCAUGAAAUUCUGCAUCUACCACACUUUGUUUGACCUUGGGGAAACGAUUCGUUCGUGAGUUAAGCGAUUUUUCUGCGCGUUACCGGUUACGCGCGGGCAACAUGUCGAUUGUCGGUGGCGCUCUAUCCCGUGCGGGCGAGGCAGAGGUUGUUUCACCACUAGGACCUUAUAUUCAUGCUGUAGGCUGUAAUUAUCGAUAUUUUCUCCUCCCCCCACCCUUCCCCUCCAAUAAAUAUUUUUUUAAUACAUCGUUAUACAGGGUAUCCCAGACCACCCGUAACAGGUCUUUUUAUCGGUUGGUUUAGGUAGUACGAAGUGGGGGACCGCGGAAUUGAAAAGGGAAUUGACCCCAAGGAAUCCGAAUAUCACGGUCCCGAAACCCCCCAGGCUCCCCUUGGGAGUAA
rnacentral:lncRNA from 1 species